GAUUUCUGACAUUAAUGCGCUUAAUCCGCCACGGUUACGUGUGUGAGUGUUGAGUCGUGUUUGUCAUCCUUCUAGAAUAUAGAUAUUAUUAGCUCUUCAUUGAGUUAUUUUAUCACUUGUUCUAGAUCUUUUACUUUGAAAAAAUUAGAGUGUUUAAAGCAGGCAGUGUUUGCUAUGAAUACAUUAGCAUGGAAUAAUAAUUUAGGACUAUCAGUUCUAUUUUGUUGGUCUUUUAGAACUGAAGUAAUGAUUGAUAGGGAUAGUUGGGGGUGCUCGUAUUCAGUGGCCAGAGGUGAAAUUCUCGGAUUCCCUGAAGACGAACUUAUGCGAAAGCAUU
rnacentral:rRNA from 1 species